CGGUGUUUAACUGGCGUGAUGUGGGACGUCCUACCGGUGGGCUUAGCCUCGCGAGGGGCGGCCCAACUAAUAUCCCGUCGCGGUGCUCUUUACUGAGUGUCGAGUCGGGCCGGUACGUUUACUUUGAACAAAUUAGAGUGCUUAAAGCAGGCUAUCCUCGCCUGAAUACUGCGUGCAUGGAAUAAUGGAAUAGGACCUCGGUUCUAUUUUGUUGGCUUUCGGAACCCCGAGGUAAUGAUUAAUAGGGACAGAUGGGGGCAUUCGUAUUGCGACGUUAGAGGUGAAAUUCUUGGAUCGUCGCAAGACGGACAGAAGCGAAAGCAUUUGCCAAAAAUGUUUUCAUUAAUCAAGAACGAAAGUUAGAGGUUCGAAGGCGAUCAGAUACCGCCCUAGUUCUAACCAUAAACGAUGCCAGCUAGCGAUCCGCCGAAGUUCCUCCGAUGACUCGGCGGGCAGCUUCCGGGAAACCAAAGCUUUUGGGUUCCGGGGGAAGUAUGGUUGCAAAGCUGAAACUUAAAGGAAUUGACGGAAGGGCACCACCAGGAGUGGAGCCUGCGGCUUAAUUUGACUCAACACGGGAAACCUCACCAGGCCCAGACACCGGAAGGAUUGACAGAUUGAUAGCUCUUUCUUGAUUCGGUGGGUGGGUGGUGCAUGGCCGUUUUUAGUUGGUGGAGCGAUUUGUCUGGUUAAUUCCGAUAACGAACGAGACUCUAGCCUGCUAAAUAGGCGUACCUUAUGGUAUCGCGAAGGCCCCCGGCUUCGGCCGGUGGGUUUUUACUACCAACGUACAAACAAAUCUUCUAGAGGGACAGGCGG
rnacentral:rRNA from 1 species